AGACUAUAGACGCCUUAGUGUGAGAUCAAGGGACUCCAGACAUCUGCAGGAGGCUUCAGGUGACUCCAGCCGUCUCCAAGUGACUUCAGAUGGCUUGACGUGGCCCCAGACGUCUUCAGUUAACUUCGAGUGGCUUGAGGGGACUUCAGAUGACUCCAGAUGUCUUCAAGUGACUUCAGAUGACUCCAGAUGUCUUCAAGUGACUUCAAAUGACUUCAGAUGACUUCAUGUGGUUCUAGACGUCUUCAGGUGACUUCGAGUGACUUCAGUCCUCAUCAGGUGACCUCAAGAGACUAUAGACGCCUUCGUGUGAGAUCAGCGGACUCCAGACAUCUGCAGGAGGCAUCAGGUGACUCCAGCCGUCUCCAGGUGACUUCAGAUGGCUUGACGUGGCCCCAGACGUCUUCAGUUAACUUGGAGUGGCUUGAGGGGACUUCAGAUGACUCCAGAUGUCUUCAAGUGGCUUCAGAUGUCUUCAAGUGACUUCAGAUGACUCCAGAUGUCUUCGAGUGACUUCAAAUGACUUCAGGUGACUCCAGAUGUCUUCAUGUGGCUCUAGACGUCUUCAGGUAACUUCGAGUGGCUUCAGGGGACUUCGGAUGUCUUCAUGUGACUUCAGGUGGCUCUAGACGUCUUCAGGUGACUUCGAGUGACUUCAGGUGACUCCAGAUGUAUUCAAGUGACUUCAGGAGACUUCAGACCUCAUCAGGUGACCUCGAGAGACUAUAGACGCCUUAGUGUGAGAUCAAGGGACUCCAGACAUCUGCAGGAGGCUUCAGGUGACUCCAGCCGUCUCCAAGUGACUUCAGAUGGCUUGACGUGGCCCCAGACGUCUUCAGUUAACUUCGAGUGGCUUGAGGGGACUUCAGAUGACUCCAGAUGUCCUCAAGUGACUUCAGAUGACUCCAGAUGUCUUCAAGUGACUUCAAAUGACUUCAGGUGACUCCAGAUGUCUUCAUGUGGCUCUAGACGUCUUCAGGUACCUUCGAGUGGCUUCAGGGGACUUCGGAUGUCUUCAUGUGACUUCAGAUGACUCCAGAUGUCUUCAAGUGACUUCAGAUGACUGCAGAUGUCUUCAAGUGACUUCAAAUGACUUCAGGUGACUCCAGAUGUCUUCAUGUGGCUCUAGACGUCUUCAGGUAACUUCGGGUGGCUUCACGGGACUUUGGAUGUCUUCAUGUUACUUCAGAUGACUUCAUGUGGUUCUAGACGUCUUCAGGUGACUUCGAGUGACUUCAGUCCUCAUCAGGUGACCUCAAGAGACUAUAGACGCCUUCGUGUGAGAUCAGCGGACUCCAGACAUCUGCAGGAGGCAUCAGGUGACUCCAGCCGUCUCCAGGUGACUUCAGAUGGCUUGACGUGGCCCCAGACGUCUUCAGUUAACUUGGAGUGGCUUGAGGGGACUUCAGAUGACUCCAGAUGUCUUCAAGUGGCUUCAGAUGUCUUCAAGUGACUUCAGAUGACUCCAGAUGUCUUCGAGUGACUUCAAAUGACUUCAGGUGACUCCAGAUGUCUUCAUGUGGCUCUAGACGUCUUCAGGUAACUUCGAGUGGCUUCAGGGGACUUCGGAUGUCUUCAUGUGACUUCAGGUGGCUCUAGACGUCUUCAGGUGACUUCGAGUGACUUCAGGUGACUCCAGAUGUAUUCAAGUGACUUCAGGAGACUUCAGUCCUCAUCAGGUGACCUCAAGAGACUAUAGACGCCUUCGUGUGAGAUCAGCGGACUCCAGACAUCUGCAGGAGGCAUCAGGUGACUCCAGCCGUCUCCAGGUGACUUCAGAUGGCUUGACGUGGCCCCAGACGUCUUCAGUUAACUUGGAGUGGUUUGAGGGGACUUCAGAUGACUCCAGAUGUCUUCAAGUGACUUCAGAUGACUCCAGAUGUCUUCGAGUGACUUCAAAUGACUUCAGGUGACUCCAGAUGUCUUCAUGUGGCUCUAGACGUCUUCAGGUAACUUCGAGUGGCUUCAGGGGACUUCGGAUGUCUUCAUGUGACUUCAGGUGGCUCUAGACGUCUUCAGGUGACUUCGAGUGACUUCAGGUGACUCCAGAUGUCUUC